CCUACGGGAGGCAGCAGUGAGGAAUAUUGGUCAAUGGACGAGAGUCUGAACCAGCCAAGUAGCGUGAAGGAUGACUGCCCUAUGGGUUGUAAACUUCUUUUAUAUGGGAAUAAAAUGUUCCACGUGUGGGAUUUUGUAUGUACCAUAUGAAUAAGGAUCGGCUAACUCCGUGCCAGCAGCCGCGGUAAUACGGAGGAUCCGAGCGUUAUCCGGAUUUAUUGGGUUUAAAGGGAGCGUAGGUGGAUUGUUAAGUCAGUUGUGAAAGUUUGCGGCUCAACCGUAAAUUGCAGUUGAUACUGGCAGUCUUGAGUACAGUAGAGGUGGGCGGAAUUCGUGGUGUAGCGGUGAAAUGCUUAGAUAUCACGAAGAACUCCGAUUGCGAAGGCAGUUCACUGGACUGCAACUGACACUGAGGCUCGAAAGUGUGGGUAUCAAACAGGAUUAGAUACCCGUGUAGUC
rnacentral:rRNA from 1 species